UAUACCAAUGAUACAAAAUUCAUAUAUCAUAAAAUAGUACUGAUAUUAAAUUUAAUGUUGUAUCAUUUGUCCACAAUGUUCCUAAUAACGUGUGACACAGUUUCUAUUGCUAACAAAUUGCAGAACAUGAAAUCUGGAGCUAUAUUAAGUAUUCUGGGUAAAGUCAUCUGGCAUAGCGACUAUCUUGAAUUGAAAGUCUUAUAGAGUAUUUUCACAUGACAUUUAUGGAGGCUGAGUGCUCACCAGAGUGCCUGUGCUGAGCAGAGUGACCAUGCCAAUGAAACACUUGAACCAGUUGUUUUCUACUAUCUUGCAGCAAGUUUUCCUUAUAUUCUUCCAAAUAUUACCAUUCUUAGAUUCUCUACUGACUUGACCAGGUGAAGAUCUUCGUUCAUAACCUGCCAAGGAGGAAACUGUUAGAAGUGAAUGCCUAGAAGACUCACAAAGAGUAAACAUCUCAAACUUUAGAUGCUUUAUCUUAUUUUACUUCUUUACUGAAUCUGCUAUUGAUGGCCUGUGAUUUACACACAUUUGUCUUUUUACUGCUGCUCAUUGGUCUGUGAUCAGUGAGGAGCAAAGAAGAACUGAACUUGUGGUUUUGGAAGAGGAAAGAAUAACUGAGAAGGCAGCAUGGAAAUGGGAAACUUGAAUGAGACAAUUUGAAGAUGUGGUCAGGAAUGCUGAGGACUUCAUGGGUUGAGUAUAUGUAGCUGCAGGAAGCCUGUCUUCUUGUCAGAGAGAGCCAAUACAAACAAAUACGUCGUUCAACAAGGUUAUAGUUAUUUUAGGUGGGAAAGAUAAGGCUUAUCGAUUUCAUAUCACAAGGCUACUCUAGUUUAUCUUAUGUGGAAGCUUGUUUCAUCAUGGAGACAUCAGACUCUCUGGGUGUGGAUCUGAGGUAUGAGGACACCAUUAACAAUCCCCCAGGUAAUGCCAGUGUGCAGGUAGGUUUAACAGCCAGGGUUACAUUUAAGUACUUCUUAAAAGGUAAUGGAUAAAGAAUAUUUGGGAAUAGAGUUACAAGGGGAUUAUGCUUCCAUAUGUCUGCAUGGGGUUGGAGACUGCAAGGUCUAAUCCUUCUCCACAUGAUGUCAAAGCUACUUUGGCUAGCAAGGUUAUGAACUAGUGCAAGCCAAUAGAAAUAUGGUGAAAAUCACAAUGCAAUUAUAAAGAAAGGAUAUACUAAGGAAUUUUAUUAAACUAUAUGUACUUCAAUAUUAUUAUAUCAUAAAUAUAAAACUGCUAAUUACACAAAUUCUUUUGGCAUAAAACUUCAAAUCCAGUAGGUCUUUCUCAGUUACUGCAUAUCUCAAAUUGGGCCAAUUAAAUUUCAAUUGAUAAAAUCACCAAGUACCUACUAUAUUAGACAACUGAGCUAUAAAUCACUGGAUCCCAUCAACCCAUCAUAUACAAAUAUGUACAGUAUACCAGGUAUUUCCUUAAGAAAAAUAUAAAGGAAUGCAAUACUUACUAAUAAAUUUCCAAUUAAAAUGACCAUGACGUAAAAAGGAAUACACCAAGACUGGCCUGCGACCUUCAUACAAUCCCAUAAUGUCUCUAUCCACUCUCCACAGAGAAUUCGGAACACAAUCAUGUAAGCAUGGAAGAAGUCACUCAUGUGCCAACGGGGGAGCUGACAGUCUUCGUCUAUGUGGCAGACACAAUCUUUGUAACUUUGACCAAACAGCUUCAUGCCGAACACAGCAGAGAAGUAAACGAAUAAGAAGAGCAACAGGAUCAAGUCUUUCAGGACCAUCAAUGUGUUACCAAGGAUUCGCAUCAAAUUCUCAAAUGGUGGACCAUAUUUCCCAAGUUUAAUAAAUCUCAACUAAUAAAUAAAUGCAAAUUAAAAGAGAAACAACAAUAAAAGAUCAGUGUUGAUUAUAAUGCAAACUUGCAUACUUAGUUUCAUCAGAAUUAUAUAGUCAUGUAUAUAUAGCCUUUAAAUUCACACCAGUUUCAACAUUAUAAUGAAAGACAAGUGACUAUUUUACAUUAAUAAUUCAUCUUACACAUUUUAUAAUUUUAUGAACUAAAUCUAUUCAUUUGUUUUUAACCUACUUGUUAAAUCCCACUCAAUAUUGUACUUGUUAUUGUGAUAUGUUUGGAUUUUAAUAUGUGGUAGGGAAAAUAUACACUCUUCAUUCUUGUUUUUCUUUAUAACACAUUGUGUAUUCAUAAUAUAUUAGAUUUCUCCCACAUUUAUACACACAGAAAAUAUUAAAUACUAAUUUCAUGAUGGAAUUAAUUUAACAGAGGAUCCUAAUAUUUCCCUUUAAAUGUUUCAAUAGUGUCAUUUCAUGUUCAAGAAAAUGAGAUAUACUAUGAUAAAAUAAAAACUAGUAGUUCUUAAAUUCUACUUACCGGGAACAAAAUAAAAACAGUUAUCUCUUCAAUACCUGCUAGGAAGAUUUCUGUUAAACCAAAAAAGACAAUUAUACUGUCCAAAAUGUUCCAUGUUACUUGGAAAUACCCAUAUGGAUGCAUAGCAAUUAUCUUCAAAAUCAUUUCUAUUGUAUAGAUUCCAAUAAAAACCUAAAAGGAAACCAAACAUAUGGGUAAGAAGUGUUUCCCAUGGCUGCACCCGACACUCGCAUACAGUCCUGUGAAGUGGAGUGAGCUCCACACGCUUGCCUGCUGCACAGUUCUUUUCAGACCCGGGUUGGUUUCAGGGUCUGUAUGAUAAUAAAG